CGUAGGUGGCAAGCGUUAUCCGGGAAUUAUUGGGGCGUAAAAGCGCGCGUAGGCGGUUUUUUUAAGUCUGAUGUGAAAGCCCACGGCUCAACCGUGGAGGGUCAUUGGAAAACUGGAAAAACUUGAGUGCAGAAGAGGAAAAGUGGGAAUUCCAUGUGUAGCGGUGAAAUGCGCAGAGAUAUGGAGGAACACCAGUGGCGAAGGCGACUUUUCUGGUCUGUAACUGACGCUGAUGUGCGAAAGCGUGGGAUCAAACAGGAUU
rnacentral:rRNA from 1 species